rnacentral:rRNA from 1 species
CCUACGGGAUGCAGCAGUGAGGAAUAUUGGUCAAUGGGCGCGAGCCUGAACCAGCCAAGUCGCGUGAGGGAAGACGGUCCUAUGGAUUGUAAACCUCUUUUGUCGGGGAGCAAAAGACGCCACGCGUGGCGUUCCGAGAGUACCCGAAGAAAAAGCAUCGGCUAACUCCGUGCCAGCAGCCGCGGUAAUACGGAGGAUGCGAGCGUUAUCCGGAUGUAUUGGGUUAAAAGGGUGCGCAGGCGGAAGAUCAAGUCAGCGGUAAAAUUGAGAGGCUCAACCUCUUCGAGCCGUUGAAACUGGUUUUCUUGAGUGAGUGAGAAGUAUGCGGAAUGCGUGGUGUAGCGGUGAAAUGCAUAGAUAUCACGCAGAACUCCGAUUGCGAAGGCAGCAUACCGGCGCUCAACUGACGCUCAUGCACGAAAGUGUGGGUAUCGAACAGGAUUAGAUACCCGGGUAGUC